ensembl:snoRNA Gm26040 small nucleolar RNA SNORA81
AUCUUUUUGUUGAGCAGUGUGCCAAAGUUACAAAAAUUAAGAGCAUGUCUUGGAUUUUGUAAUAAUGAGCACACACAAGCAGAAAUGGAUACACUGGACCCCAAUGACUGGGGUCGACCUCUCUUUUCCUGUCCAGUGUUCUAAUAUUUGAUAAAAUAUAC